rnacentral:rRNA from 1 species
UACAGAGGUCUCAAGCGUUGUUCGGAUUCAUUGGGCGUAAAGGGUGUGUAGGUGGCGCCGUAAGUCGGGUGUGAAAUUUCGGAGCUUAACUCCGAAACUGCAUUCGAUACUGCGGUGCUUGAGGACUGGAGAGGAGACUGGAAUUCAUGGUGUAGCAGUGAAAUGGGUAGAGAUCAUGAGGAAGACCAGUGGCGAAGGCGGGUCUCUGGACAGUUCCUGACACUGAGACACGAAGGCCAGGGGAGCAAACGGG